CCUACGGGAGGCAGCAGUAGGGAAUCUUCCACAAUGGACGCAAGCCUGAUGCAGCCAUGCCGCGUGUGUGAAGAAGGCCUUCGGGUCGUAAAGCUCUUUUGGCAGGGAAGAAAGGUGUAGGUAGAAUCUCGCCUUUCAUUGACGGUAAUUACUGAGAAAGCAACGGCUAACUACGUGCCAGCAGCCGCGGUAAUACGUAGGGUGCAAGCGUUGUUCGGAUUUAUUGGGCGUAAAGCGCACGCAGGCGGUUCAAUAAGUCUGAUGUGAAAGCCUCGGGCUCAACCGGAGAAUUGCAUCAGAUACUGGUGAGCUUGAGUGCAGUAGAGGAGGGUAGAACUCCAUGUGUAGCGGUGGAAUGCGUAGAGAUAUGGAGGAAUACCGGUGGCGAAGGCGGCUCUCUGGUC
rnacentral:rRNA from 1 species